CCAGGUCGUUCCAAGGGAGACGAGCGUGGCCAUCCCGGAGAUGGUUCUUAUCGACUCAUCGUCAUCCUCAUCUGUCCUAGGGAAGCACCUGGAGACCGCGCGCAGUUGCCCCUGGUGUGUCCUCACAGAGCAAUCAUCUGCUCUGACCUUGCCUCUUCCUGCCCUUGCCCCUCCGCCGAUCAUUGUCACAGGGGUCGCUUGCAGCCUAGAGGUGGGCUGCCAGCCCCUGGGUCCGUCCAUCUUUAGGAGCAAAUAACGCCGACCAUGGUCGCCGGCGGAUCCAUGUUGCCUGUGGGGUUUGUGAAGGGCGACAAAGCAGAGGCGGAGGAGUGGCGACGACUUGAGUCGACCCCGCUUUGGGCUGACGUGAUUCUAGAAACCAUUGAGUGCAUGCUUAGUGGUUUCGAGAUGCGAUCUCGAUUGCCCAAGCGUCGGUGACGGGGGACUUUGUCCCCUUCGGACGGCACCUUCUCGCACGAUCGGAGGCUCGGUGGAGGCACUGCAAACGGCACAGGUGGGGAUAGAGUUGCUCCGCGCGGGUGCUGUCUACACUGAAGAGGAAGAACGCGAGCUUGUCGUCCCCCAUUUAGAAAUAUACCAUCUUCGAGGCGAGACAUCAUCCUUGCAUGCGAAGUGCGAUGGGGCUCGUGGCAAUGCAGAUCGCCUUUGAAACUAGGGUUCCCAACUCGGAGAGGCACUCCGCAGAGUAAAGUGUCAUGCUGGGCUAGCCGAGUCAUCUUCAUGGGAGGCAAAGGUUCGUCUGGUGCAAGCAGUCUCAAAACUUGUGAUGGAGCGCGACGCGACCAGAGAGGUCCGCAAAAUUCUCACUCAAGCGCGGGAUACGAAGGUCGCGGAGGAUGAAGCGAAGGCUACAGCCACGGAGAAUACAUGCAAGCUCUUGCUUGCUCGCGAAAAUGCCGUUGCUGCGGGGCACCGGGCGGAUGCCCUUCUCUCGGAAAGGAGCACCAAACUCCAAGUGAUUCGUCUGGUUGUUAGCAUGGUGUGCGCCCAUCUCUCUCCUCUGUUGUCGACUGAGGCGCCUCUGGUUGAUCGCCUCUGGGAGCUGCCCGAUUGUGUGGAGAGCGCACCGUCGCCGAGGGCAUUUGUCGAGGGGUGGAAUCGGCCUUGGCCAGAUGGUCUCUCACUUUGACGAGAUCGACGUCACCAUUAUCGCCGAGGGCUAAGCCAGUGUCCGGAGCGACAAGUAAUUGGACGUUAUCGAAGACCAGGUCCACCCCCACGCUCAGUCAAUCAUGAGCCAAGUUGACGUCAGGUCCCUCCUAAUCAGCCCCUCGACACUGGAGCUUCCCGCCAAUGGUCUAACUGCUCCUAUUUAGACGAUGCCCGCUGGGAUUCAUGUAUUGAACCUCUACAUGGUGCAUUUUGUGUAUAUGAUAACACUUUUUUCCA